rnacentral:misc_RNA from 1 species
UCUUGGGAGCUUGCUGAACAUGCUAUUGUGGCAGUUGGUGAGUGGAUAACUUGGGCACUCACAUACUUGUUUGUUAGGUGCAUCUUGAGGAUGUACGGUUUCAGAAACUUUGUAACUCUUGGUGGCCACUUAACUGGUGGUGGAAUAACCAUCUCUAUCUGUCUGCAACCUUACCCAACUAGCGUGGAUAGAAAAAUCAACUGCUUAAUAGGAUCUAAAAAUGUGCAAAAUCAUGCCAAGCUUUUUCUUGUCUCCUCAAGAGCUUUAACUUUUAUUAGUUCCGGGGUCAGCUUUUCUUUGAGAGGAAGGCCGGAGAAGAAACAACGAGCAGGCGUGGCUACACCGCUUCUAACUGGUCAUUGCGAUUUAGAG